rnacentral:misc_RNA from 1 species
UUAGCCUGAGCAGCAGCUAUCAAAUUUUUCAUGGGUGUCAAAUCAAGAGAAGCCCCCUGAUCCUUUGGAGUUCUGUCAACGCAAACUUCUUUACCGCCAUCCUGCAUGUCUCUAUCAUGACUACCGUCAUUAGAACUAGAGUUGGCAGACUUUGUCAUUCGAGAUGAGUUGCCUGUCAUGGAACCAGUGAUUCGAGGUGAUAGAACUGUAGUAGGUACACUUG